GUAGGGGGCAAGCGUUGUCCGGAUUUAUUGGGCGUAAAGAGCGUGUAGGCGGCCUGGUAGGUCAGUUGUGAAAACUCGAGGCUCAACCUCGAGACGCCGAUUGAAACCACCAGGCUAGAGUCCGGAAGAGGAGAGUGGAAUUCCCGGUGUAGCGGUGAAAUGCGCAGAUAUCGGGAAGAACACCCGUGGCCAAGGCGGCUCUCUAGUACGGUACUGACGCUGAGACGCGAAAGCGUGGGGAGCGAACAGGAUUAGAUACCCUGGUAGUCCACGCCGUAAACGAUGGGUGCUAGGUGUGGGAGGUGUCGACUCCUUCCGUGCCGAAGCUAACGCAUUAAGCACCCCGCCUGGGGAGUACGGCCGCAAGGCUA
rnacentral:rRNA from 1 species